rnacentral:lncRNA from 10 species
CAGUUAUUGUGUAAAGAAAAUCUAGGUAUCUUGCACCAAGAAGUGGAAAAUAAAGAAGAGAAAUGAGAACCAUGUUUGUAUUGGCUGUCUAUAAAAUAAGAGUUCUAGGUACAUGAAAUCCACUGGUGUGCUGGUAAAUGUUUAAUAACCAGUCCUCUGGAAAGGAGAAAGUUGAAGACCCCAUUUAUACAUUUGCUCAUUUCUGUGGUGUAAAUACCCUGAAAAUAGCUGAUUUCGAGCUAUCAACAUUACUGAAGAUGGAGCUGGGAAGAGGGAGAAGUUAAGUGAAGUUUUCCAACCCACAGCUGUAUCCUUGCAGGAAGCAGAUAAUACAAUUAAAGGGAUCAAUU